GGACAUUUCUCUCUCCUCUGAUCGUUGGACUCAUUUGUGGAGUUUUACUGAUUUUUCUUCUUCUUCUGCUCGUGUGUCGUUUCAAACAGUCAAAGGAUUCAUUCUUUAUCAGGACUCAGAGCACAAAUCAGAGCUCUGCUAUGAACCACAUGAUCAAUCAGGAUGAAUCUCAACACAGCCAAAACACUUCUCCUCUCCAAGAUGACAGUGUGUUGUAUGCACAGGUCUCCCACAGUAGAUCUAAAGCCAAGAGAGACAAAGAUGACAGUGUGUUGUAUGCACAGGUCUCCCACAGUAGAUCUAAAGCCAAGAGAGACAAAGAUGACAGUGUGUUGUAUGCACAGGUCUCC